rnacentral:rRNA from 1 species
GUCCACGCCGUAAACGAUGAGUGCUUGAUGUUGGGGGGCCUAGCCCCUCAGUGUCGUAGCUAACGCGUUAAGCACUCCGCCUGGGGAGUACGGUCGCAAGAUUAAAACUCAAAGGAAUUGACGGGGGCCCCGCACAAGCGGUGGAGCAUGUGGUUCAAUUCGACGCAACGCGAAGAACCUUACCAGCUCUUGACAUGUCCCUCGAGUCCCCGAGAGAUCGGGGACGUCGGUUCGGCCGGAGGGAACACAGGUGCUGCAUGGCUGUCGU